GCCUGUUCUCCAAAGCUGCUGUCAUAGUUACCGUGUAUGACUGGCAUAACACAUACUGCUGUGUCUGAGCUCCAGUCGACCUGGACGCUUUGGAGCAUUUACACUCAGCUGACUGAUGAAGACUCAUGAUAUCAACACAUCAGGAGGGCCACAGUCUGCGAGGACCAUGAAGGCACAUCUGGCAUAUCAACCCCUGCUUCCCAGUACAAACAAAUAUCUGCAGCACAAAUGGGACAAGGAGUCAUACGACUUACACAGAGAAAAGGUGAAGUCAGCAAAAUCAAUGAUAAGCAUCACUCCCACCACAGAUCUACAUUCACCUGGCUCUCGGGCUGAAGAAACAACAGGCCUC